rnacentral:rRNA from 1 species
CCUACGGGGGGCAGCAGUGGGGAAUAUUGGACAAUGGGGGGAACCCUGAUCCAGCCAUGCCGCGUGUGUGAAGAAGGCCCUCGGGUUGUAAAGCACUUUCAGUGAGGAAGAACGCCUGGUGGUUAAUACCCAUCAGGAAAGACAUCACUCACAGAAGAAGCACCGGCUAACUCCGUGCCAGCAGCCGCGGUAAUACGGAGGGUGCGAGCGUUAAUCGGAAUUACUGGGCGUAAAGCGCGCGUAGGUGGCUUGAUAAGCCGGUUGUGAAAGCCCCGGGCUCAACCUGGGAACGGCAUCCGGAACUGUCAAGCUAGAGUGCAGGUGAGGAAGGUAGAAUUCCCGGUGUAGCGGUGAAAUGCGUAGAGAUCGGGAGGAAUACCAGUGGCGAAGGCGGCCUUCUGGACUGACACUGACACUGAGGUGCGAAAGCGUGGGUAGCAAACAGGAUUAGAUACCCUAGUAGUC